UACGUAGGGACCAAGCGUUGUUCGGAUUUACUGGGCGUAAAGGGCGCGUAGGCGGCAAUUCAAGUCAGUUGUGAAAUCUCCGAGCUUAACUCGGAACGGUCAACUGAUACUGUUUUGCUAGAGUACAGAAAGGGCAAUCGGAAUUCUUGGUGUAGCGGUGAAAUGCGUAGAUAUCAAGAGGAACACCUGAGGCGAAGGCGGGUUGCUAGGCUGAUACUGACGCUGAAGCGCGAAAGCUAGGGUAGCAAGCGGG
rnacentral:rRNA from 1 species